rnacentral:rRNA from 1 species
UACGUAGGGUGCAAGCGUUAAUCGGAAUUACUGGGCGUAAAGCGUGCGCAGGCGGUUUUGUAAGUCUGACGUGAAAUACCCGGGCUCAACCUGGGAAUUGCGUUGGAGACUGCAAGGCUAGAAUCUGGCAGAGGGGGGUAAAAUUCCACGUGUAGCAGUGAAAUGCGUAGAGAUGUGGAGGAACACCGAUGGCGAAGGCAGCCCCCUGGGUCAAGAUUGACGCUCAUGCACGAAAGCGUGGGGAGCAAACAGG